UACGGGGGGGGCAAGCGUUGUUCGGAAUUACUGGGCGUAAAGGGCUCGUAGGCGGCCAACUCAGUCGGACGUGAAAUCCCUCGGCUUAACCGGGGAACGGCCUCUGAUACUGGCUGGCUGGAGUUCGGGAGAGGGAUGCGGAGUUCCAGGUGUAGCGGUGAAAUGCGUAGAUAUCUGGAGGAACACCGGUGGCGAAGGCGGCAUCCUGGACCGACACUGACGCUGAGGAGCGAAAGCCAGGGGAGCAAACGGG
rnacentral:rRNA from 1 species